GUAAACAAAUGGUUAACGUCUUUGUGCGAAUAUUAUCAUUUUUUCAUUAUGUCAUUCUGUUUGGUUCUUAACACAUUACUUCUGAAGGAUCCAAAAUAUUAUGGGUAUCCUGUUGUAUUUGACCUUAAAAUGGUGGAUACUGAAAUGACCCAAAUGAAUAACAUUAGGGUACUUUCAAUUAACAUUUAAUGGACAAGUUUGCUCACCCAGCAAAAUCAAAAAAAGAAAGAAUUGUUCGUAAAUUUUGCGCGAGGUUCAGGUAUCUUUGCAGCUUUGUCGAAUUUGAAAAGUUGCCUGAUAUGUUUACAAGAAGUAAUACUGUAUGUCUUCAGUAAAGAGUUUGAAAAAAAAAAGAAGGAAGAUAAGAAACUAGGCAUUGACACACCAUGGCAGUAUCCUGCUUUCAUCGGAAUGAAGAGUCCCAACUCCCAACCUUCCCCAAACACCAAAUUAUAAGCAGUGGCUAUUAAUAUUGCAACCAGUCCACCAAUGAAGCUUGCACAGAUGUUGAAUCAGAGGAGGACACUUCAUGUGCUGCUUGUGCAGGCAGAUUUUGGUGCCGAUUAACCUGAGGAAAGUGCUGACGGAGACGACAAAAUGGCAGACAAGAAUAGGAGAAGCCGACUAUCCAGUGCUUCCUGGCAUUGCAGCAAUGACAAGGUCAAACUAAUGACAAGAACCGAAGCUCAACAAAGCUGGCUUUUAAAGGAUGAGUGCAAAUAUGCCAAGAAUAUUAAAAAAUGAUUGAUGAUCACCCCCUGCCUUGUAGAAAAUCUGAAGACAUGCUUGUGUAAGCAAAUCUGAACAAUAAAUUUUCCAUUAUACAGAGUA